UCCUUAUAAAAUAAAAAUUUAUUGAAAAAUAAAUACAAAAUUAAAUAUGUAUUAAAAAUAAAAAAAACGUCUAAUCUAAAAACUGCUAUUGCCCAAACAAUUUGUCAUCCCAAUAGAUCGAAUUAAUCAAAAUGUUGUAAGUAACAACGUUUGGCUUGCAACCCUUAACAAUCAUAACAAACUUCAACCUCUCCCCGAACUUUUCAUUCUCCUUUAAUCAAAAGACCCUUCAACAACAAGUUGUGCAAAUUUAAAUGCACAAUCCACCAACCCUCAGUUACGCAUAUAUAUCCAUAACCUUCAAAGACAAAUCAAGCAUUCCCAUAGCACAAAGGAUCCCAAAAAUCCUUUGCUUUUGUUCUCUCAAAAACUCUAUUCUCAUAAAAACUAUAACGUUGAUUGCAUCGCGACGAUCUCAACAACAAUAAGCAUAGGGUUUUCAAACUUGAGCUUGUUAACUUUAGAUUAAGCGUUGAAUUCUUGCAAGGGCCGAGGGGGUGUAGUCAAAGAUAAGGCGCCAUGAGCUGGGGUCGAGGACAUCAUCAGAUUUGUGGGCAUCAGAGUCAUCAAACUCGUUCCACUCAAUGGCAGAGUUUGGAUCGAUGAACUCGUCCCACCGUCGCUUUUCUCUCUCACAAAACACUUCUCUCCCAAC
rnacentral:lncRNA from 1 species